AGCCUCCACUUGCACCGACUUCAACCUUCGACAGUUCGACUGUAUCUCUUUCUUCGAGAAUCAUCUGUUCACAGCGACUUCUACUGUUACACCCAAAUCGUUGAUCCCAAUCGUGCCACCGUCUUCUGCAGCCGUAUAAGCGAGAUUGAGAGAGCUCGGUAUAAGGCAAAGACAGCAGCUGCAGUCAAAGUUCCAGGGUUUCAAUUUGAGAGUUCUUCAUCAGACUAUCAACUGAGGACUACGACUUUGACAAUGCUUUUGGGGUUCUCUGCAGUAUAUGCAGGUUUUAAGUUCUGAUUUUUAGUGAGGAUGCUACUAAGCUUCCUCUGCCAUAUCCUAAAGUCGGAUAUCUUACUGUACCACCAGUACGGAAACCAAUUGCACGUCAUAGUGAUUGGCUAUGACCACAAUUUAUUUUGAACAAUGAAGGACUUCAACAGUAGGUCACCAAAGGUGACAAAAAGCAAGCAGAAGAUCAGGAGAUACAGCUAUGAAAAUUAAUAUUCCAGAUAUAUGUUCUGUUACAGUUUGCCACCAGAUAUGAAAUCAAUAAAAUUUAUGGGGUACCAAAUUUCUUGCUGCAGUUUAUCGACCCAAAGCAGGGACAAAGAAGAAUGAAAAUCCUGAAAAAGCUUGCAUUGAGGUUAUUUGGAAGCCUAAAACAAGCCAGAGUGGUCAGUUUCUGCAACUAUAUUUGUGCUUUGUGGUAAUUUGUAUACAAUAGCUAAGUUUGUUCACUAAGUUUGGUGAGUUCUGUUAUUGCUAUCUAAGUUUUGCUAGAUUUUUUGUGCAUGAUAUAGGAAAAACGUAAAGGGAAUAUGAGAUGAUAUUGAAAAGGACCUUGCAAAGCAUCUGUAUAUGGACAUUGGACUGUGUUACUUAGAAGGUAUGAGUUGCCAAGACGUGGAACUCUGUUUUAGUUUUAAGCCUUGGCAUGGAAAUGCUUCUCCCAAUUCAAAGUUAUGUAUUAAAGACAAAUAAGCAAGAUAUUACUGUAGUUUCUCCAACCCAUAAGAUUAUUGAUUCUGCAUCAGAAUAUUAUGCGUUUUGAAAAAGGAAAUGACGAAGGAAAGCCCACAUUACACUGAUGGGGUUCACUCUUCUCUCUUCGCUUACUGAUUCAGCGAAGCACAAUAGAACAGCUUCAAGUAUGAGAUUAUUUGAGGAUCUCUACUUAAAGAGGUUGCUCUCUAGAGUCAACAAAUGCCUUGGUUAUAUCUAAGCAGACCAUUCUACUUCGUGUAGAGGUAGUGAGUAGCUGCUCAUGUCUUUCUAUAACAACAAGGCAAACUGCUAAUUUUCAAGCCAACAUCCAUCAAACGGUUCUCAUUAUUGUCUUUCUUCUAUUGCAUUAUUAGACAAUACAUAGCAAGUUUGAUUUGAAGUUAUUGAUUCCACUGAGAAAUUCGUGUAACAUGUUUUAAUCAUCCUUUAAUGAAGGUGUACAACAAAAAUAUUCUGCUA